AUCUCCUCAUUUCUCUGGUAAGACAUUCUGGGUCUAAUUUUAGUUUUUCUAUUUUUUAUGCUUUCAUUUUUCUUCGUAACGAUUAGUUGACCAUCAAAGAUAAAAUGGAAGUGAGUUGUGUAUUGUUUCCUACCCAAACUACUAACCAAAGGGAAUGAAUAUGAUAUUCAGCUUGUAAAUAAACUCACAUAGAUAGUAAGGAACCUGUAAUUGUGCACUGACCUUAGAUAUUAUCUAUAAUUGAUUUCUCAUUUUGCCAGAUUGUUGCAAACCUGACAUGGU
rnacentral:misc_RNA from 1 species